UCAGAUCUUCAUUAUUUACUAACACAACUAUCACAUAUGGAUUAGUUGUAUAAUACCACACACUCGUUCUAACAUGUAUUACAGUAUCUCACAUAUAUAUAUAUACCCUACAACGAUAAUCAAUUUUAGAAGUCACAUCCCAAACUGUAUAUCAUUUCAUGUAGUACUUAUUUUAAUUAGUCAGAAAAGUGACACAUACCAUAAGAUAAUUCAUCGCAUGUCUAACUUACACUCAAACUAACCAUUCAUUACUUAUCAAACAUUCUUGCAAGACUUGUAUAUAUAUAAUGCAUAAGCAUUAAUUUCCUUGGUUAGUAGGAAUAGGGUGUGAACUAUAAUCUCUGCGAGGGAUGUAAUGGUGAUCACUAUCAUCAGUCACUGUAGGUUGGCCUAAGCCUGCAGGUAAUUUUCCAUAGUCCUUUCUUGGUAUUUCAUGGUGAUCAUUAAUAUCAUCACUAUAAUUCAGUUUUUCAUCUUCCUUCACUAGCUUAUUAUGCUGCUCUUUAUCAUAUUCUUCAAGCAAUUUGAAUUUGUUCAUCAUCAUCAUGCUCUUCUUCCUAUGUGUAGCAAUACAACAUCUUGCCACCACCAACACUAGGAGUGCAAUUACUACAACCCUCAUUCUGGCUCUUCAACACAAUAGUAUAACUGGAUUUGCUUCAGCCAGAAAAAAGAACAAAGUUCAUUAGAUUAGAUAGAUGAUGAAAUGAUAUCAUAAUUUCUGAUGAGAAUAUGCAGAUAUAAUAAUAUAAGCAAUAUAUAUGGCAUAAGAUAUGUGUAUGCAUAAUUUCAAACACUAAAAAUGAAACAGAAGAAGGAACCUCAUAUACAUGCACAUAAAAUUAAGACAAAAAGAUAUACACACUUGACAAUGUAAGAGUUUUUGACAUUAUCACUACAUUAACUUUUAACUAUAUGUAAAACAAGUGAGCGAUAGAUAAUGUAUUGGCUAUGUAUAAAUCGUUACCUAAUAAAAAAUAACUAGCAUUUGAUUAAGUUAACACACUAGAUAGAGCUAGGAUGUUA
rnacentral:lncRNA from 1 species